rnacentral:rRNA from 1 species
CCUACGGGUGGCAGCAGUGGGGAAUAUUGCACAAUGGGGGAAACCCUGAUGCAGCGACGCAGCGUGAGGGAAGAAGUAUUUCGGUAUGUAAAGCUCUAUCAGCAGGGAAGAAAUAGCGACCUUUGGGUCGCCAGACGGUACCUGAUUAAGAAGCCCCGGCUAACUACGUGCCAGCAGCCGCGGUAAUACGUAGGGGGCAAGCGUGAUCCGGAUUUAAUGGGUUUAAAGGGAGCGUAGAUGGCAGCGCAAGUCUGAUGUGAAAUGCCGGGGCUUAACCCCGGAACUGCUUUGGAAACUGUGCAGCUAGAGUGCAGGAGAGGUAAGUGGAAUUCCUAGUGUAGCGGUGAAAUGCGUAGAUAUUAGGAGGAACACCAGUGGCGAAGGCGGCUUACUGGACUGUAACUGACGUUGAGGCUCGAAAGCGUGGGGAGCAAACAGGAUUAGAUACCCCUGUAGUC